rnacentral:rRNA from 1 species
GGGUUGUGAGGUUAAGCGACUAAGCGUACACGGUGGAUGCCCUGGCAGUCAGAGGCGAUGAAGGACGUGCUAAUCUGCGAUAAGCGUCGGUAAGGUGAUAUGAACCGUUAUAACCGGCGAUUUCCGAAUGGGGAAACCCAGUGUGAUUCGUCACACUAUCAUUAACUGAAUCCAUAGGUUAAUGAGGCGAACCGGGGGAACUGAAACAUCUAAGUACCCCGAGGAAAAGAAAUCAACCGAGAUUCCCCCAGUAGCGGCGAGCGAACAGGGAGCAGCCCAGAGCCUGAAUCAGUGUGUGUGUUAGUGGAAGCGUCUGGAAAGGCG